GUUCCGCUCAAGUUCCUCCGCCGCGACCUCAGGACAGGCCGAAGAGGCGCGCACUACUCACGUGUCUUCCAAGUGCUGCUCCAAGGUCGCCUCCAUCCCACCCACCGACCACUCCGGCUCAGAACCCAGCGGCACGGCACGUCCUUCUCCACCACAGGCCUCAGUCACUUGACGCGAGCGGGGCGUGGACCGUAACGGCGCCUCCAAAGGGACAAAAUUGAUCACGGUGCAACGUCCGCGUUCUUUACUGGAAAACAUCACUGCGCUUCCGUCGCACAGAGCCUGACGAAGGCUUGGGCUCCCCGCGCGGUGACCGUCGAGGUGACCUGCACCUGGCUCCAUGGCGGAACCGGCCGGCACGGAUUAUUCCCCUCUCGGGAGAGGUCUGCAGCCGGGCCUCAGUGCUUCAGUUCGUGGCCUGGCAUUUUGUGAAGAGUGUCUUCAUCUCUGCAUCCCUAGUGCAACAGAGCAUGACAAAAAUUCAACAAAUAUUUAUUGAAGAGUCUUGAUGUCUUUUGGGAAAGGAACUCUAUGGUUACCUUUACUCUAAGAUUAGAUGGGUGUUACUGAUUCUUACCUCAGAGAAGAGAAUGUCAUGGAGACAAAAUGACCUGCUUAGAGUUCUGCACCCCCCAGCAUGGAGAGCAGAGCGCAAAGAUUUCUUCCGGACUCCCACAUUCCCCUUGGAAUCCAAGAACUGGUCUACUGUCACAACACUUUAGUACCCUCUUGUAAGCCUGUGGACAAAUCCUCUGAUGCCUUGAUACCUCGGUUUUCCCCCACUAUAAAUGGGAAGAUAAAUUCACUAGAAACAGUA
rnacentral:lncRNA from 1 species